rnacentral:rRNA from 1 species
GACGAACGCUGGCGGCGUGCUUAACACAUGCAAGUCGAGCGGUAAGGCCCUUUCGGGGGUACGACGAGCGGCGAACGGGUGAGUAACACGUGGGUGACCUGCCCUCAGCUCUGGGAUAAGCCCGGGAAACUGGGUCUAAUACCGGAUAUGACUCCAUGUACGCAUGUUGUGGGGUGGAAAGCCUUGUGCGGCUGAGGAUGGGCCCGCGGCCUAUCAGCUUGUUGGUGGGGUGAUGGCCACCAAGGCGACGACGGGUAGCCGGCCUGAGAGGGCGACCGGCCACACUGGGACUGAGACACGGCCCAGACUCCUACGGGAGGCAGCAGUGGGGAAUCUUGCGCAAUGGGCGAAAGCCUGACGCAGCGACGCCGCGUGAGGGAUGACGGCCU